GAACGUAUGGGAGGCUUUUGUCUGUCAGCUGCUCUGUGGAGGAUGCAUGUCCCAGCCUAAUCCCCAGCUCGUGAUGUCUUGAAACUGCCAAAAAUGGUUCGCUGGUGUAGGAAAGACCUGGGCUUGGGAAUGGGGCAGAGGUUCCUCUGCAAUGGAAUUGGAAGCUGUGCCGAUUGAGGUAAAUCACUGCUGGUUCAGGGACUGAAAAGCAGCUGAUAAACUCAAAAUUGGACUCAGGAUGGUGAUAAAUGCACCGUUCAGGAGCCACAGCUUCUCUGGAACGUGGGAUGAACCAGCCCUCACGAUCCUGCCCCCAAAAGGAGCGAGGGGUGAGUCAAGGAACACUUGUGUUGUUAUUUACGACCGCAGCGCGGAGCUCCGGUCUCUUGUUUGCAAUGACUUUCCUCUUUGGCAUUAGAUCAAAGAGGAUUAUUAAAGGAGCACAGCAGGAAAGAUGAAAAUGGCUGUUGUAGAGGAGCAUUUUCAAGCACGCAGGCACCGAGCGCUCUGCUCCUGCUUUGACACUGGUGCUGGAAGAUGAGGAGCUCACAAGGUACAGGUGUCCAGGUGGGAGGAGAAAGGAGGACCCUGGCUCUCCCUGCAACCCUUGGAGCUGCUAUUUCUGAAGGAUUAAGAGUUAAUGGGAGUGACAAUGUCCGGGUUACUGAGCUGCUUCUGUGGGUGUCAUCUCCAAACAGCUUCUCCUGGAGAGAUCUACUUUGUGAAACGCACUUAUUACCUAAAUUCAGGUCUGUGGGACACAGCAAAAUAUACCGUGAUUGAGAAAGGGGGGCAGGCAAGACUGGCAUCACACUUGCAAUCAUCUGGUGAGAUCCACAAACAGGAAUAAGCCUCCAAAAAGCACCACUACAGCUACAUGUGUUUUCAGAAGCUUUCCUUGUGGGUGCAAGAUGACAGCAUUUGCCCAUUGUUCUGUUGCUCUGGGCUGUUUGUCCACACCAUCCCUGGAGCGGGGGAGCUUGGACCACAAGGAAGGACACGUUUGGCCAGCCAGCCUCGAGGAGAUUCCGCUGGUGGCAGGGGGACACACUAAGUCUUCAGGUAAAUAGGGCA